AUUGAACGCUGGCGGCAGGCCUAACACAUGCAAGUCGAACGAGUGGCGGACGGGUGAGUAAUGUCUGGGAAACUGCCCGAUGGAGGCGGAUAACUACUGGAAACGGUAGCUAAUACCGCAUCCCAUCGGAUGUGCCCAGAUUGGAUUAGCUAGUAGGUGUGGUAAUGGCUCACCUAGGCGACGCUCCCUAGCUGGUCUGAGAGGAUGACCAGCCACACUGGAACUGAGACACGGUACAGAAUCCUACGGGAGGCAGCAGUGGGAAAUAUUGCACAAUGGGCGCAAGCCUGAUGCAGCCAUGCCGCGUGUAUGAAGAAGGCCUUCGGGUUGUAAAGUACUGUCAGCGGGGAGGCGUUACUCGCAGAAGAAGCACCGGCUAACUCCGUGCCAGCAGCCGCGGUAAUUC
rnacentral:rRNA from 1 species